CUUUAUCGCUUUUCUUUAUCGCUUUUCUUUGCUGUUUUCAGUUAGUUUGUUUAUUUUCUUUCUUAUUUUUAGAUAGUUUGUUUAUUUUUAUUGCUUUUUUAGUUGUUUACUUUAUUUCAUUUUGCUUUUAGUUUGAGUGUUUUAGAUAAUGCAUGAGUCUGACGAGUCACCAGUAUAGUGUAUUUUUAGUACAGUUUAAUCUCCCCAUAGCUUUAGCCCUACCAAAAAAAAAUUUGCAAAAGAAAACGGUGUUAUUUUGAAUGUUUUUGGGUUUUAAAGACAGGUUUGAG
rnacentral:lncRNA from 1 species